CGGGAUGUGGCGCAGCCCGGUAGCGCACCAGCAUGGGGGGCUGGGGGUCGUGGGUUCAAAUCCCGCCAUCCCGACCA
rnacentral:tRNA from 1 species